GCCGCUUUAGCUCAGUUGGUAGAGCACAUCAUUCGUAAUGAUGGGGUCACGUGUUCGAGUCACGUAAGCGGCACCA
rnacentral:tRNA from 178 species